rnacentral:tRNA from 1 species
GGCAAGUUACUCAAGAGGUCAAGAGGGCUGUUUGCUAAACAGUUAGACGUAUAAAAGCGUGCAUAGGUUCGAAUCCUAUACUUGCCGCCA